AUUGAACGCUGGCGGCAGGCUUAACACAUGCAAGUCGAGCGGAGAGAGGUAGCUUGCUACUGAUCUUAGCGGCGGACGGGUGAGUAAUGCUUAGGAAUCCGCCUAUUAGUGGGGGACAACAUUUCGAAAGGAAUGCUAAUACCGCAUACGUCCUACGGGAGAAAGCAGGGGAUCUUCGGACCUUGCGCUAAUAGAUGAGCCUAAGUCGGAUUAGCUAGUUGGUGGGGUAAAGGCCUACCAAGGCGACGAUCUGUAGCGGGUCUGAGAGGAUGAUCCGCCACACUGGGACUGAGACACGGCCAGACUCCUACGGGAGGCAGCAGUAGGGAAUAUUGGACAAUGGGCGCAAGCCUGAUCCAGCCAUGCCGCGUGUGUGAAGAAGGCCUUAUGGUUGUAAAGCACUUUAAGCGAGGAGGAGGCUACUUUAGUUAAUACCUAGAGAUAGUGGACGUUACUCGCAGAAUAAGCACCGGCUAACUCUGUGCCAGCCGCCGCGGUAAUAC
rnacentral:rRNA from 1 species